CAGACAUUUAUUUUUAUCCAGUUUCUUCUCAAGGUGAAGAUAACUCUUUGUAAAUGUCCUAAAGUCGUGUAGAAUGUGGUAGCUUUCUGUUCACACUUUACAAAUAAAAAGGAUGGAUCAUUCUACUACUGACAUUA
ensembl:scaRNA